UACGAAGGGUGCAAGCGUUACUCGGAAUUACUGGGCGUAAAGCGUGCGUAGGUGGUUCGUUAAGUCUGCCGUGAAAGCCCCGGGCUCAACCUGGGAAUGGCGGUGGAUACUGGCGGACUAGAGUGCGGUAGAGGGUGGUGGAGUUCCCGGUGUAGCAGUGAAAUGCGUAGAGAUCGGGAGGAACAUCUGUGGCGAAGGCGGCCACCUGGACCAGCACUGACACUGAGGCACGAAAGCGUGGGGAGCAAAC
rnacentral:rRNA from 1 species